CACGUAGAUGGCUUUGUAAGUCGGAUGUGAAAUCCCCGGGCUCAACCUGGGAACUGCAUUCGAAACUGCAUUGCUCGAGUGUGGAAGAGGGAAGCGGAAUUCCAGGUGUAGCGGUGAAAUGCGUAGAUAUCUGGAGGAACAUCAGUGGCGAAGGCGGCUUCCUGGUCCAACACUGACAUUCAGGUGCGAAAGCGUGGGGAGCAAACAGGAUUAGAUACCCUGGUAGUCCACGCCAUAAACGAUGAGAACUAGAUGUCGGGAGGGUUAGCCUUCCGGUGUCGCAGCUAACGCGUUAAGUUCUCCGCCUGGGGAGUACGGCCGCAAGGUUGAA
rnacentral:rRNA from 1 species